UACGGAGGAUCCAAGCGUUAUCCGGAAUCAUUGGGUUUAAAGGGUCCGUAGGCGGUUUGGUAAGUCAGUGGUGAAAGCCCAUCGCUCAACGGUGGAACGGCCAUUGAUACUGCCAGACUUGAAUUAUUAGGAAGUAACUAGAAUAUGUAGUGUAGCGGUGAAAUGCUUAGAGAUUACAUGGAAUACCAAUUGCGAAGGCAGGUUACUACUAAUGGAUUGACGCUGAGGAGCGAAAGCUAGGGGAGCAAACGGG
rnacentral:rRNA from 1 species